rnacentral:rRNA from 1 species
AAGCGUUGUUCGGAAUUACUGGGGGUAAAGGGCUCGUAGGCGGCCAACUAAGUCAUACGUGAAAUCCCUCAGCUUAACUGGGGAACUGCGUGUGAUACUGGAUGGCUUGGAUUUGGGAGAGGGAUGCGGAAUUCCAGGUGUAGCGGUGAAAUGCGUAGAUAUCUGGAGGAACACCGGUGGCGAAGGCGGCAUCCUGGACCAAUAUUGACGCUGAGGAGCGAAAGCCAGGGGAGCAAACGGG